rnacentral:rRNA from 1 species
AACGAACGCUGGCGGCAUGCCUAACACAUGCAAGUCGAACGAGACCUUCGGGUCUAGUGGCGCACGGGUGCGUAACGCGUGGGAAUCUGCCCUUGGGUUCGGAAUAACAGUUAGAAAUGACUGCUAAUACCGGAUAAUGUCUUCGGACCAAAGAUUUAUCGCCCAGGGAUGAGCCCGCGUAGGAUUAGCUAGUUGGUGAGGUAAAGGCUCACCAAGGCGACGAUCCUUAGCUGGUCUGAGAGGAUGAUCAGCCACACUGGGACUGAGACACGGCCCAGACUCCUACGGGAGGCAGCAGUGGGGAAUAUUGGACAAUGGCGGAAAGACCUGAUCCAGCAAUGCCGCGUGAGUGAUGAAGGCC